rnacentral:rRNA from 1 species
CUUUACUGUAACUUGAAAUUGAAAUUGGACUUUAUUUGCGCAGUAUAGGUGGGAGGCGUGAAAAGUAAUCUUGCGGGAUUAGUGUAGCCAUCAGUGAGAUACCACUCCUAUAAUGUUAGAUUUCUAACUUUGGAUCAUGAUCUGGUCAAAGAACAGUUUCAGGCGGGCAGUUUGACUGGGGCGGUCGCCUCCCAAAUGGUAACGGAGGCGUACAAAGGUUUCCUCUGAACGGGUAGAAAUCGUAUCUAGAGUGUAAAGGCAUAAGGAAGCUUGACUGUGAGACCUACAAGUCGAGCAGGGACGAAAGUCGGUCUUAGUGAUCUGACGGUGCUGAGUGGAAAGGCCGUCACUCAACGGAUAAAAGUUA